rnacentral:rRNA from 1 species
CCUACGGGAGGCAGCAGUGAGGAAUAUUGGACAAUGGACGCGAGCCUGAACCAGCCAAGUAGCGUGAAGGAUGACUGCCCUACGGGUUGUAAACUUCUUUUAUAAAGGAAUAAAGUGAGACACGUGUGCCUUUUUGUAUGUACUUUAUGAAUAAGGAUCGGCUAACUCCGUGCCAGCAGCCGCGGUAAUACGGAGGAUCCGAGCGUUAUCCGGAUUUAUUGGGUUUAAAGGGAGCGUAGACGGGUUGUUAAGUCAGUUGUGAAAGUUUGCGGCUCAACCGUAAAAGUGCAAUUGAUACUGGCAGGCUUGAGUACAGUUGAGGGAGGCGGAAUUCGCGGUGUAGCGGUGAAAUGCUUAGAUAUCACGAAGAACGCCGAUUGCGAAGGCAGCUUACUAGACUGCCACUGACAUUGAUGCUCGAAGGUGUGGGUAUCAAACAGGAUUAGAUACCCUUGUAGUC